GCGGGUGUAGUUCAGUGGUAGAAUGGAAGCUUCCCAAGCUUCAGAUGUGGGUUCGAUUCCCAUCACCCGCUCCA
rnacentral:tRNA from 1 species